GCCCGGAUGGCGGAAUUGGCAGACGCGCUUGACUCAAAAUCAAGUUCCGAAAGGAGUGUGGGUUCGACCCCCUCUCCGGGUACCA
rnacentral:tRNA from 1 species